rfam:Homo sapiens chromosome 12, GRCh38 reference primary assembly.
GCCAGGUGUGGUGGCUCACGCCUGUAAUCCCAGCAAUUUGGGAGGCCGAGGUGGGUGCAUCACCUGAGGCCAGGAUUUUGAGACCAGCCUGGCCAACAUGGUGAAACCCCAUCUCUA